GAAUUCGAUUAACGCGAAGAACCUUACCCAGGCUUGAACAGCGAGUGACCAUCGGCGAAAGUCGACUUCCGCAAGGACACUCGUAGAGGUGCUGCAUGGCUGUCGUCAGCUCGUGUCGUGAGAUGUUGGGUUAAGUCCCGCAACGAGCGCAACCCUUGUUUGCUGUUGCCAUCAGGUCAAGCUGGGCACUCUGCAAAGACUGCCGGUGAUAAACCGGAGGAAGGUGGGGAUGACGUCAAGUCAGCAUGGCCUUUAUGUCUGGGGCUACACACGUGCUACAAUGGCCGACACAAACCGUCGCGAGCCCGCGAGGGGGAGCUAAUCGGAGAAAGUCGGUCUCAGUUCGGAUAGCAGGCUGCAACUCGCCUGCUUGAAGUUGGAAUCGCUAGUAAUCGCGGAUCAGCACGCCGCGGUGAAUACGUUCCCGGGCCUUGUCACACCGAAUCACUA
rnacentral:rRNA from 1 species